ACAUAUUUCUUUGAAAACCCCCCAAAAGAUAUAAUAAACAAAAAGAAAAUUAAAAUCAUCCACUGUCCCACCAUUCUAAGAAAACCAGUAUUGAUACUUUGGGAUGGGUAUGUACGUAUAUAUUUGAGUGUAUGUUUUCAAUAUAGAAUUCUAAAUGCCCUGUAGUUUUCCCACACUAUAUUAUAGACAUUUUUCACAUAUAAAAAAUUAUUUUAAUGAUGUAUUUGCUGUUUGGGUUGUCCCAAUUUAUUUAAAAGUCUUCUGUUGAUGUACAUUAACCUGUUACUUACUUAUCGCCAUUAAAAACAAUACUGCAAUUAAUACUUGAAUUUAGUUUUCAUUCAAUCUACAAAUUGAAUUUUUGUGUCAAAGUGUAUGGACUUUUAAAAGCCAAUUGUCUUCCCCAAAGUUUCCCCACAUCCUGGUCAUUUCUUCGCUCAAACACAUGGCCAUCUUUAUAAUUAAAACACUUUACACUACGUUAAUCUGCUCUCACUAUUCACAGGCCACCACCACUCUACCUAGGCAUUUCCAGGUUGUGCAUGUAUAUUCACCAGUUUUCCCCAAUCAGCAAAAUGCAGGUUUCUCUGAUCAUUAGCUUUUAACCUGUUGUGCAGAGCUUACUUGUUAACCUCCUUGUAAUGUGUCCAACAUGUGCUAAUCAUUGAUUCCUUUUUGAAAGAAUAGAAGGGAAAAACCUAUGAAAAUAUAUACUUCUAGCUCACCUUUUUUAAUACUGGGGAAUGAUACUCUCCAACAGUUUUUAUCAUCUAGCAGUAGACGACCUGUUUUCCUCCUUGGUGAUGCUUUCCCGAAAGCAUGUCAGUCUACAACUGUCAGCCUUCAAUGCUAGUCCUUUUACUUUUCUGUUAAAGGUUCUUUGUCUUAUAGAAAGUUUAUAUUCAUUUUAAUAAUAUAGACUGUACUCUUUCCCAAGUCUGACUGAAUUCCCAUUUCAUCAUUAUCUUUGUAAGAAAAUUGCUUUUGAUGAACAAAGUUUUAAGUUUCAGGAAUACAUCUUUGUUUAUUUCAAGUAAUACUGUUUCUUUUUUUUUUUAAGUCUCAGCUGAUCCCUAUGUGAAAAGUGUUACCUCACCUGUAUAAUUACAUUUCUUUGGUUUACAACUGAGUUUGAACAUCUUCAUAAAUUUUUGGUCAUUUUAUUUUAUAUAAAAUUUUCAGUGUCCUUUGUACAUUUUGCUACUGGCUUUGUGCAAAUUUAAAGAAUAUUAAUCUUUUGCCAUGUAUCAUUAAAUUUUUUACCUUGUUGGUUGUAUCUCAAGUUGGUCUCAUGAGAAUUCAAAACUUCAGUUGAAUAUGUUAGCCUUUCUUUAGGAUCUAUGCCUCUUGUUCAAAAUUUUUGUGUGGAGAAAGAUGGUUAAUGGUUGUAGGAUAGUUUUAUCUGUCCUUGGAGUGGGUAAUAGUGACUUUUCCUUAUUUCCCCUUAAUAAACAGUUUAUGGUUAAUGUGAUAGGACCCAUAAAGAGAACUGAUUGGCUAUUUGACCUGUUGAAAUACAUAUCCUACAUUUUCUUUGGGUAUUUAUGAGGUUUUGCCUUUUUUUCAGGCCCUGCCUAAGCCAUUGAAUACAGUUCAGAUGUAAAAAUAAGUGUUGGAAGUCCUGUGUUAAUUCAUUCAAAAAACACAUUCAGUGUGUCCAUCUGUUAAUGACCAACAUAUUAAGGAAUUUGUUAAAUUAUAUGAUGAAACGUCCAUUAAAAUUUUUUUACAAGGAGCCUUUAAUAACAUGGAGAAAUGAUGAUUGUGACAUGUGAAGUGGGGGAAAAAAGGAUACAAACUUACAUCUAAUAUGAUCUCAACUAUGUUUGGAAAUGUCAGGCUGACAAGCAUACAAGUGCGUGAGUCCCAGUGACUUGAAAGCAGAGUCAGAAUUCUCACCUUCCUUGGCUCAAGGGAAACACAAAUGAAGGCAGGUGUUCCAGUUUGAAGGCCAGGUCCUUCCAUCUGUGGCCCCACCAUCAUCUGCAUCAAGCCUGAAGAAAACCAGAGAACAUGGAGGA